rnacentral:hammerhead_ribozyme from 1 species
AUCCAACUGACAAGUUUUAAAUAGGACGAAACAUACUUUGUCCUGGAU